CCUUAGCUUUACUCAUGCUGUCAGAAAUGCAAUGUGCAGUCCAGUGACUGAGAAGCAUUCAACAUAGAAGAAAUUCAGACUAGUGGUUAACAGAAUUUGUGAGCCCAUUGCUCCGUGGAGGACAGACAAAGGGACUGGCCAGACCCAAAGGUUGGUUUUUAGGAAUCCCCAUGACCCAGCUGAAGAACGAUGCAGCCCUUCUUCCCUCCGAUUCCCUACUGCAGAAUGGAAAGAAAUAUGCUCAGCCUCUUCUUUUCCUGCAGAGCCAAUGAAACACAUGUACACAACACCUUUUCUUCUUACGUGCAAACUAGGUCUAUACAACUGCGGUUACUGUGAGCUCAUUCUUCUUCCAAAAAGGCUUCAUCUCAUGGGGUUAGUAGAACUCACCUUGUCUUCUGGGCACCAUGUUCUUGCGCUGUGUGCCUGGCUGUAACUUCUAGGCUAUUGCAGUUCAUAACCAGAAAGAAUACAGAAAUGCUGUGGGAGAAGGCCAUAUAUAUAACAUUCUAUUACACAAAGAGAUAG
ensembl:lncRNA